CUUCUCCUGGUGUAGUGCUAACGCACCUUUCUAGUGAGUAGGUGCCGUGAGUUCGAAUCUCACCGAGAGAA
rnacentral:tRNA from 1 species